UACGUAGGCAGCGAGCGUUGUUCGGAAUUACUGGGCGUAAAGAGUGUGUAGGCGGUGCUCUAAGUUCGGUGUGAAAUCUCCCGGCUUAACUGGGAGGGUGCGCCGGAAACUGGAGUGCUCGAGCGUGGGAGAGGAAAGCGGAAUUCCGGGUGUAGCGGUGGAAUGCGUAGAGAUCCGGAAGAACACCGGAGGCGAAGGCGGCUUGCUGGGCGUGAUCUGACGCUGAGGCGCGAAAGCGUGGGGAGCGAACAGG
rnacentral:rRNA from 1 species